rnacentral:lncRNA from 1 species
GUAACAAUGGUGGUCAGUGCCAACAAAACCCAGCUGAAGAAGCAGUUUGUGUUAUUAGGCCCAAGGUAACUGACCCAGUAAGAUCAGAGGCUAUGGAUAAUGCUGAAAUGUACCAAGGGCAUCAAAGGUAUCGAGGGUACCAAAAAUACCGAGUAUUUCAAGGAUACACCAGGUUCAAAAUGUUUGAAGUGUUCGAUGUGCAUGAAGGAUCUGAAGACAGAGUGUCUAUAAAUGGGGAACAAGUUUAUAUUUCAGAAGCAGAAACUAUUAAACCUACAGAAGAGCUUGAGAAGAAGAAGGGAGAGGAUGAGUAUGAGGAUAAGGACAAGUACAUCAAUGAGAAGACCACAUUAGAAAAUGAACAGGCAACUGACUUUCCAAACAAAGAUGGCGACCCUCCAGAAAAGAAUGAAAAUACGGCAUUUCUAGAUUCUAUAUUUGGUGAGUUGCCCCCGAAAUCCAUACUCAAGGCAAAUCUCCUCUUUCCAAAGCCUGUAUAUCCCAAUAGAAGACCACCGACCAACAAACACUACCUUUAAUGUCUUGAAUGACCUUGAAUAAGCAGCAAAAUGAUGCAAGAUGCAGAUUCAAGGAAGCCACAGCUCUGCGAUCAACAUCAUCUCAUGGUUUUGGACACCUGUUCUUCUGUACUUUUAAAAUAAGUUUGAAAAACUGACAUUCUGACUUUUUGUAUUUAUCACCUAUGUUUUAGUGGAAUAUAAGUUAAACUGUCGGGGUGUGUGUGUGUGUGUGUGUGUGUGUGUGUGUGUGUGUGUGUGUGUGUGUGUGUCUGCAGGGAAACACAAAAUUCCCUGUGGGCAAAAAAAAAGUGAUAGGGUCA